rnacentral:rRNA from 1 species
UAUUUUGAUUGUGCAAAGGUAGCAUAAUAAUUAGUUUUUUAAUUGAGAACUGGUAUGAAUGGUUGAACGAGAAAAAGACUGUCUCAUUUUAAUUUAAUUAGAAUUUUAUCUUUAAGUUAAAAAGCUUAAAUAUAUUUAAAAGACGAGAAGACCCUAUAGAGUUUAAUAAAAUUAAAAUUUUUAAUAAUUAAAGAAUUUUAUCUAUUAUUUAUUUAAAUUUUAUUUGAUUGGGGUGAUUAAAAAAUUUAAAUAACUUUUUUUAAAAAUUUAACAUUAAUUUAUGAUUGUUUGAUCC